AUCACCAGAAAAUAUUUAGGAUAUCGUUAUGUUAUUUUUAUAUUUAAAAAUUAAAUAGAUUUUUGUUUUAAAAAUUUUGUAGGACUGUUUACUAUCGUACAAGGAAACAGUAAUUAUACAAUAAGUUUGUACUUUGUGAAUUAUAAUUAUUAUUAUAGGAGUAUCUGUUAAGUGGUCCUAGAAAAGUUUUUGGACAUUAUUCAUUAAUAUCAUAUCGCUAUCCUAAAAUUAAUGACGCUUCAUACUGCUACCAAAUAGAAUGAUGCUUUACCUUGGUUGAGUUAAAGGUAAUCUACCAAUCAAUAAAAGAAAUGAUAAUAUUUUAGAUAGGUAAUAUAUAU